rnacentral:rRNA from 1 species
GAUGAACGCUGGCGGCGUGCCUAAUACAUGCAAGUCGAGCGAACAGACGAGGACCUUUCUCCUCUGACUUUAGAGCGGGACGGGUGCGUCACUCAUGGUUAACCUACCUAUCCGACUGGGGUACCAACAGGGAACCGUAGCUACUACCCGAUAAUUUAUCGACUCUGAUGGUUCACGAGUGAAAGUAGGUUGUUGUGUCACUUAAGGAUUGGAAAGAGGCGCAUUAGUAAGUUGGUAAGGUAAAGGAUUACCAAGGCGAGGAUGCGUAGCCGGCCUGAGAGGCUGAUCCGACACACUGGCACUGAGACACGGCACAGAAUCCUACGGGAGGCAGCAGUGGGGAAUAUUGGAAAGUGGGCGGAAGCCUGAUCGUGCAAUGCCGGGUGAGUGAUGAAAGCCUUAGGGUUGUAAAGCUCUUUUACCCGGGAUGAUAAUGACAGUACCGGGAGAAUAAGCUACGGCUAACUACGUG